UACGGAGGGUGCGAGCGUUGUUCGGAAUUACUGGGCGUAAAGCGCGUGCAGGCGGCCGACUAAGUCAGGUGUGAAAGCCCGGGGCUCACCUCCGGAAGUGCGCUUGAAACUGGUCGGCUUGAAUCCGGGAGAGGGAUGCAGAAUUCCAGGUGUAGCGGUGAAAUGCGUAGAUAUCUGGAGGAAUACCGGUGGCGAAGGCGGCAUCCUGGACCGGCAUUGACGCUGAGGAGCGAAAGCCAGGGGAGCAAACGGG
rnacentral:rRNA from 1 species